rnacentral:rRNA from 1 species
UGGGGAAUAUUGCACAAUGGAGGGAACUCUGAUGCAGCGACGCCGCGUGAGUGAUGAAGGAAUUCGUUUCGUAAAACUCUGUUCUAUGGGAAGAAAAGGACUGUACCAUAGGAGAAAGCUCCGGCUAAAUACGUGCCAGCAGCCGCGGUAAUACGUAUGGAGCGAGCGUUGUCCGGAAUUAUUGGGCGUAAAGGGUGCGCAGGCGGCUUUACAAGUUGGAUGUGAAAUAUUGUGGCUCAACCACAAACGUGCAUCCAAAACUGCAAAGCUUGAGUUAAGGAGAGGUAAGUGGAAUUCCUGGUGUAGCGGUGGAAUGCGUAGAUAUCAGGAGGCAUACCGGUGGCGAAGGCGACUUACUGGACUUAAACUGACGCUCAGGCACGAAAGCGUGGGGAGCAAACAGG